AGAAAAGAACUACCUUUUCUGUAUACUUUAUACUUUCCCCAGUUCCGUUGCUACCCCGGGUCUUACGCAAUCGAUCGCAUCAUAUAGAUAUCCCUUCAACACAACAUAGGUCAUCGAAAGGAUCUCGGACGACUCACCAAAGCACGAAAGCCAGGAUCUUUCUUUCAGAAAAUGGAUUCCUAUUCGAAGAGUGCAUAACCGCAUAGAUAAACUCACACUAACCCGUCAAUUUGGGACCCAAUUCGGGAUUUUCCUUGGGAGGUAUCAGGAAAGAAUUGGAAUGUAAUAAUAUCGAUUCAUACACAAGAAAGGGUUCUCUAUUGAUUCAAACACUGUACCUAUGGGAUAGGGAUAGAGGAAGAGGAAAAAACCGAGGAUUUCACAUAGUACUUUUGAUCGAAAAAUCAAUCUGAUUUAUUUCGUACCCUUCGCUCGAUGAGAAAAUGGGUCAGAUUCUACAGGAUCAGAUCAAACCUAUGGGACUUAAGGAAUGAUGGAAGGGAAAAAGAAAAGAGAGCGAAAGAAAAUAGAAAGAAAGAAUAAAAGAAAAUAAAUCAAAAAGAAAAAAGAAAGAAGAACCCAGAUUCCAAAUGAACAAAUUCAAACUCGAAAAGGAACUUUCUGAUUCUCGAAGAAUGAGGGGCAAAGGGAUUGAUCGAGAAAGAUCUCUUCUUCUUAUUAACAGAU